UUCAUGUCAUCGGGCCAUUAGGAGCAGAAUUGGCCCGACGGUGCAGCUCGGACAAUACGUUUCUGUGAUGGAGUGGCGUGAGCAGUCCUCGGUCGGCUGCGACGAAGCCUUCUCAGAGGCGCAGAGAUGGAUUGAGGCAGUAACCAAGAAAACAUUUGGGAGCAACGACUUCCGAUCCGCACUGGACAACGGAGUUCUGCUGUGUGAUCUGAUCAACAAAAUCCGGCCUGGUGUCGUCAAGAG